UCUGGCUUAUAGCCAAGCGGUCCCCUUAGAGUGCCCAACUUAAUGAUGGUAACUAAGGGCGAGGGUUGCGCUCGUUGCGGGACUUAACCCAACAUCUCACAACACGAGCUGACGACAGCCAUGCAGCACCUGUCUCCGCGUCCCCGAAGGGAACUCCCGCUUUCACGGGAUAGCACGGGAUGUCAAGCCCAGGUAAGGUUCUUCGCGUAGCAUCGAAUUGAACCACAUGUUCCACCGCUUGUGCGGGCCCCCGUCAAUUCCUUUGAGUUUUAAUCUUGCGACCGUACUUCCCAGGCGGAAUACUUAAUGCGUUAGCUGCGACACCAAGAAGAUUAGGCUUCCUGACGUCUAGUAUUCAUCGUUUAGGGCGUGGACUAC
rnacentral:misc_RNA from 1 species